rnacentral:rRNA from 1 species
UACGUAGGGGGCAAGCGUUGUCCGGAUUUAUUGGGCGUAAAGAGCGUGUAGGCGGCUAUGCAGGUCCGCUGUGAAAACUCGAGGCUCAACCUCGAGACGUCGGUGGAAACCGCAUGGCUAGAGUCCGGAAGAGGAGAGUGGAAUUCCCGGUGUAGCGGUGAAGUGCGCAGAUAUCGGGAAGAACACCCGUGGCGAAGGCGGCUCUCUGGGACGGUACUGACGCUGAGACGCGAAAGCGUGGGGAGCGAACAGG